rnacentral:tRNA from 1 species
AUUAGCUCAGUUGAUUAGAGCGUGGUGUUAAUAACACCAGGGUUGUGGGUUUGAUCCCUGUAU